rnacentral:lncRNA from 1 species
AAAUGUUGGGUGCUUGGAAGAAACGCAGCAGGUGAUACGGCCAAAAUAGUGACAUCUCUAAUAUUCACUGUUAUCUGCCUAUUUAAUUUAUCACUCGUACAAAGAUCAUCGCCACUUUCAAGCAACUACCCUAGAAAACUCGUACGCUUGGCACAACACUGGUCCAGGAAAAUGCCAAUUGCAUCUGCCAAGCUUGCAACGCUUGGGAAUUUCACUGGGCCAUCGUUGAAUGAGUACUGGGGCCAUAAGCACGGCCCAACCGUUGUCAAUACAUCGGUCAACGAUUGUAUCAUGCCAAUGGUUAAGAAACAGUCGAGUCAGCGUUAAUAAUGUUAAUGGGCCAACGCUUGACAAUAUGGUUGGCCAUUAGUUAACCAGCAUCGUUUUGAAUACCGUUAUCACAUUAUGUCAAUCCUCGUGCCGAUUGCUGUGGAGAAUGUCUGCCGGUUAUAAAGAUGAAAAAAAAUUAUCCCACAAUGCGAUAAAUUAGAUUUUAUUUUGGUAACAAGGGAUAUAACCAUUAUAAUUAUCGUUCUCAUAAUAAAUAUUUAUGGUUAAACAAAGUUUAAUAUUUAAAGAGAAGUAAUGAGCAAUGCAACGCCUUAGUGACAUGACGAUUUUGCAGCCGAGGACGAGGAGGAUUCUCUAUUUCUUCGAUACUUGGAACAGAAAGGCGAAGGGCUCGGCCACCAUCUCUGUCUCCUGCGCCUGCGAGCCAGCGACUCACGUUCGAAACCAGCGUUUGGAUAUUGGGCACAUCGUUGGCAAAUCUUGACAGGAACACAUCUGUAAAUGUAAAAUUGUUAAUAGUUGUUAAUUCUUGUGUUCUUAUGACAAUGAAUUCAAUUGUGAAGUUAGU